GACGAACGCUGGCGGCGUGCUUAACACAUGCAAGUCGAACGAAGUGGCGAACGGGUGAGUAAUACGUGGGUAACCUGCCCUCCUUUUUGGGAUAAGCCUUGGAAACGGGUGCUAAUACCGAAUACUAUCGGAUGAACCCAUAUGGGAUUAGCUAGUAGGUGAGGUAAUGGCUCACCUAGGCGACGAUCCCUAGCCGGCCGGAGAGGGGGACCGGCCACAUUGGGACUGGGAUACGGCCCAGAGUCCUACGGGAGGCAGCAGGGGGGGAUAUUGCACAAUGGGCGAAAGCCUGAUGCAGCGACGCCGCGUGGGGGAUGAAGGCUUUCGGGUUGUAAACCUCUUUCGCUAUCGAACGGGUAGGUGGAGAAGAAGCGCCGGCUAACUACGUGCCAGCCGCCGCGGUAAUAC
rnacentral:rRNA from 1 species